UUCUACUCCUCCUCCUCCGCCGCCACCACCAAUGACCCGUUCAGGAGCACCACCUCCCCCGCCCCCUCCUCCAGGUGGACGUCCUGGACCUCCACCAUCCCCACCUCCUCCUGGUGCACGUCCUGGACCUCCACCGCCCCCACCUCCUCCUGGUGCACGUCCUGGGCCUCCACCUCCCCCACCCCCUCCCGGUGCACGUCCUGGCCCUCCAGCUCCCCCACCCCCUCCAGGUGCACGGCCAGG
rnacentral:lncRNA from 1 species